UACGUAGGGGGCAAGCGUUGUCCGGAAUCAUUGGGCGUAAAGAGCGUGUAGGCGGCCCGAUAAGUCCGCCGUGAAAGUCCAGGGCUCAACCCUGGAAUGCCGGUGGAAACUGUCGGGCUGGAGUCCGGAAGAGGCGAGUGGAAUUCCUGGUGUAGCGGUGAAAUGCGCAGAUAUCAGGAGGAACACCAAUGGCGAAGGCGGCGACCUGGGUCGAUACUGACGCUGAGGUGCGAAAGCGUGGGGAGCAAACAGG
rnacentral:rRNA from 1 species